UACGGAGGGGGCUAGCGUUGUUCGGAAUUACUGGGCGUAAAGCGCACGUAGGCGGCUUUGUAAGUUAGAGGUGAAAGCCCAGGGCUUACCUAGCGAAUUGCCUUUAAGACUGCAUCGCUAGAAUUGUGGAGAGGUAAGUGGAAUUCCGAGUGUAGAGGUGAAAUUCGUAGAUAUUCGGAAGAACACCAGUGGCGAAGGCGACUUACUGGACACAUAUUGACGCUGAGGUGCGAAAAGCGUGGGGGAGCAAACAGG
rnacentral:rRNA from 1 species